GACGAACGCUGGCGGCGCGCUUAACACAUGCAAGUCGAACGGAGUUUUUUAGAAUGAAGUUUUCGGAUGGAAUUUUUUAAAACUUAGUGGCGGACGGGUGAGUAACACGUGAGCAACCUGCCUUUCAGAGGGGGAUAACGGGCUGGAAACGGUCGCUAAUACCGCAUAACGUUGCGAUAGGACAUCCUAAUGCAACCAAAGGAGCAAUCCGCUGAAAGAUGGGCUCGCGUCUGAUUAGAUAGUUGGCGGGGUAACGGCCCACCAAGUCGACGAUCAGUAGCCGGACUGAGAGGUUGAACGGCCACAUUGGGACUGAGACACGGCCCAG
rnacentral:rRNA from 1 species